GCUUGGCUGGCUCAGUCAGUAGAAUAUGUGACUCUUGAUCUUAGGGUCAUGAGUUUGAACCCCAUGUCAGGCA
rnacentral:tRNA from 1 species